rnacentral:rRNA from 1 species
UAGGGAAUCUUCCGCAAUGGGCGAAAGCCUGACGGAGCGACGCCGCGUGAGUGAGGAAGGUCUUCGGAUCGUAAAGCUCUGUUGCCAGGGAAGAAGACUUGGGAGAGUAACUGCUCUCAAGGUGACGGUACCUGAGAAGAAAGCCCCGGCUAACUACGUG